GAAACCUCUGCGCCAUGAGAGCCAAGGUGAGCGGUUCCUGGUAGUAAGCUUGGGAGGUAGGAGUUGGCGAGUAGUAGCGAGGAGACGAAGUGGAGGAAGAAGCGAAUGCGCAGGCUGAAGCGCAAAAGAAGAAAGAUGAGGCAGAGGUCCAAGUAAACCGCUAGCUUGUUGCACCGUGGAGGCCACAGGAGCAGAAACAUGGAAUGCCAGACGCUGGGGAUGCUGGUACAAGUUGUGGGACUGCAUGCUACUGUCUAGAGCUUGUCUCAAUGGAUCUAGAACUUCAUCGCCCUCUGAUCGCCGAUCACCUCUGAGACCCACCUUGCUCAUAAACAAAAUGCCCAUGUUGGUCCUCUGCCCUGGACCUGUGACAUUCUGGACUAUUUCUGUGUUUAUUUGUGGCCGAGUGUAACAACCAUAUAAUAAAUCACCUCUUCCGCUGUUUUAGCUGAAGAAUUAAA
rnacentral:lncRNA from 1 species